GACGGAGGAUGCAAGCGUUAUCCGGAAUGAUUGGGCGUAAAGCGUCCGCAGGUGGCACUUCAAGUCUGCUGUCAAAGACCGGGGCUUAACCCCAGAAAGGCAGUGGAAACUGAAGUGCUAGAGUGCAGUAGGGGUAGAGGGAAUUCCCGGUGUAGCGGUGAAAUGCGUAGAGAUCGGGAAGAACAUCGGUGGCGAAAGCGCUGCUGCGUGGACUGCAACUGACACUCAGGGACGAAAGCUAGGGGAGCGAAUGGG
rnacentral:rRNA from 1 species